rnacentral:piRNA from 1 species
UGUCCAAACUUUGAAAAGGGAGCCUACUGU